rnacentral:rRNA from 1 species
GACGAACGCUGGCGGCGUGCUUAACACAUGCAAGUCGAACGGUAAGGCCCUUCGGGGUACACGAGUGGCGAACGGGUGAGUAACACGUGGGUGAUCUGCCCUGCACUUCGGGAUAAGCCUGGGAAACUGGGUCUAAUACCGGAUAGGACCCUGGGAUGCAUGUCCUGGGGUGGGAAGCUUUUGCGGUGUGGGAUGGGCCCGCGGCCUAUCAGCUUGUUGGUGGGGUGAUGGCCUACCAAGGCGACGACGGGUAGCCGGCCUGCGAGGGUGACCGGCCACACUGGGCCUGGGAUACGGCCCAGACGCCUACGGGAGGCAGCAGUGGGGAAUAUUGCACACUGGGCGCAAGCCUGAUGCAGCGACGCCGCGUGAGGGAGGACGGCCUUCGGGUUGUAAACCUCUUUCAGCACCGACGAAGCGCAAGUGACGGUAGGUGCAGAAGAAGGGCCGGACAACUACGUGCCAGCCGCCGCCGUAA